GGGAGAAUAUUGUGUUUUGUUUGGGGAAAAAUCCGUUUGGACCUCUCGUCUCUCUGCUUCCGUUCCCGGCGAUCUGAAGAAAGAACGAAAAAAAAAUGGAGGAGAAGAAGAAGCAAAAAAAGAUAUUAUCUUUUUUGUUGUGUACCAAGUUGUUCUCUGAGGGUUUAUGGCCAUAGCUUAUUGGAUCUUUCUUAAUGUUCCCUUUGCUUCUUGGCUUAUUAAACAUGUGUAUCAAAAUGGCAAUUGUGCAUGACAUCGCUGAAGUGACUGGUGGUGAUUUGGAUAUCUACUCCAUUACUACGAUGGGUGGUUCUUGUUCUUGCUCGGAUGGUGAACUCUUGGAGCAGAUACGCACCGUUUCUAGGCAAAAAGGAGAGCUUCAGCAGCAGAUACGCACCGAUACUAUUUUCUCUUCGUUUAGGCCUUUCUCAUUAUCCCUUCACUGAUUACAUAUUAGGCCUUUCACUUGUACAUUGUGGUAUUGGAAUAUUUAACAAGCUAUAACUUUGUCUUUCUUAAUAUGCAGAAGGGAGCGUGAUCAUUCUGAUGCUGAGAGGUCCCAAAACAUACAUAAACUAUCUGAACUUCAGGAGCAUUUUCAAGAGAAAGAGAGACAAUACGCUGAAUUGCAGGAACAGGUUUGCUUUACACCAUCAAGUUAUGUUUUGACUGCCAUUCUUGCCACUCUUCACGCUCUCUGCCUAAUGAUCCGGAUCAGACCCCAAGUGGUCGACUCAAUCUUGGCUGAAAUGGUUUUUCAGACAACCAUACACCACCUCUGGCGGGAGGGAAUUGGUCAACAACAUGACAAGGAUUAGAUCAGCUUAUGAGGAAGAUAGACGAAGCAAUUCAAAAUCGAAUUGUAUCACUCAAAUACAUAUUUUAACACAGAUUGGCUGGGAUGCUUCAGCGAUGGUUUGUGGUCUCUCCAUUCUGAACUUGCAGAGAGGAUAAGGUUAAUGUGCGGCUUCGGAGUUGCAGCUACCCCCAAGGUCCGUCUCUUGCUCCCAGUGCAGAGACGUAGCUAUCUCAUCUCCGGCGGAGUGGAGCUUGACCGAAGAUGAACGGCUCUUGCGUUGUGACGGCUGGGAUCCAUUCUGCUUCGGCGAGGUGGUGGUGAAAGACGGCAGUGUCGGUUUAGUACUUGGUUGGUUAGGACCGGUUAAAUUCCCUGUUUGCUUGUGAUUUGUACCGUCUAUUUAUUAUUAAAUUUUGUAUUUUAAAAUAAUAA